rfam:Solanum lycopersicum cultivar Heinz 1706 chromosome 7, whole genome shotgun sequence.
UAUGCUGUGAUGAGAUUAAGCACCAUAGGGUGUAUUGGGCAGUGGAAGAAGGUUUAAAAGCCUUCUCCGUGAGCUUAUUAAUUAACGACUUCUCCUUCCACUGAGCAUC